GUAGGUGAACCUGCGGAAGGAUCAUUACAAAUCUUAUGCUUAUCCCGUAAGGGGUAUAGCACAUGUGCCCGGAUCACUGUGCAAACAGUGAUCUGUGACAUUUACGCUUGUUGUGUUUGACAGAGUUUAUUUACACAUUUAAAAUAGACAACUUUUAACAAUGGAUCUCUUGGCUCUUGCAUCGAUGAAGAACGCAGCAUCUGACUGACUAAGAUUCG
rnacentral:misc_RNA from 1 species